CGCCUCAAACGAGACUCGAACUCGCCUCUAUUUUUUUAGCAAUUAUGCUACGGAUUGCUCUACCGGGAC